CCUUCAGGUGGUGCAAUGGGUCAGUGUGUCUGGUUGUUAACCAGAAGAUUGGUGGUUUAAGCCCAACCAGGGA